rnacentral:rRNA from 1 species
AGCUACAGGCUUAACACAUGCAAGUCGAGGGGCAGCAUGGUCUUAGCUUGCUAAGGCCGAUGGCGACCGGCGCACGGGUGAGUAACACGUAUCCAACCUGCCGUCUACUCUUGGACAGCCUUCUGAAAGGAAGAUUAAUACAAGAUGGCAUCAUGAGUCCACAUGUUCACAUGAUUAAAGGUAUUCCGGUAGACGAUGGGGAUGCGUUCCAUUAGAUAGUAGGCGGGGUAACGGCCCACCUAGUCUUCGAUGGAUAGGGGUUCUGAGAGGAAGGUCCCCCACAUUGGAACUGAGACACGGUCCAAACUCCUACGGGAGGCAGCAGUGAGGAAUAUUGGUCAAUGGGCGAGAGCCUGAACCAGCCAAGUAGCGUGAAGGAUGACUGCCCUAUGGGUUGUAAACUUCUUUUAUAAAGGAAUAAAGUCGGGUAUGCAUACCCGUUUGCAUGUACUUUAUGAAUAAGGAUCGGCUAACUCCGUGCCAGCAGCCGCGGUAAUACGGAGGAUCCGAGCGUUAUCCGGAUUUAUUGGGUUUAAAGGGAGCGUAGAUGGAUGUUUAAGUCAGUUGUGAAAGUUUGCGGCUCAACCGUAAAAUUGCAGUUGAUACUGGAUAUCUUGAGUGCAGUUGAGGCAGGCGGAAUUCGUGGUGUAGCGGUGAAAUGCUUAGAUAUCACGAAGAACUCCGAUUGCGAAGGCAGCCUGCUAAGCUGCAACUGACAUUGAGGCUCGAAAGUGUGGGUAUCAAACAGGAUUAGAUACCCUGGUAGUCCACACGGUAAACGAUGAAUACUCGCUGUUUGCGAUAUACUGCAAGCGGCCAAGCGAAAGCGUUAAGUAUUCCACCUGGGGAGUACGCCGGCAACGGUGAAACUCAAAGGAAUUGACGGGGGCCCGCACAAGCGGAGGAACAUGUGGUUUAAUUCGAUGAUACGCGAGGAACCUUACCCGGGCUUAAAUUGCAGAUGAAUUACGGUGAAAGCCGUAAGCCGCAAGGCAUCUGUGAAGGUGCUGCAUGGUUGUCGUCAGCUCGUGCCGUGAGGUGUCGGCUUAAGUGCCAUAACGAGCGCAACCCUUGUUGUCAGUUACUAACAGGUUCCGCUGAGGACUCUGACAAGACUGCCAUCGUAAGAUGUGAGGAAGGUGGGGAUGACGUCAAAUCAGCACGGCCCUUACGUCCGGGGCUACACACGUGUUACAAUGGGGGGUACAGAGGGCCGCUACCACGCGAGUGGAUGCCAAUCCCAAAAACCUCUCUCAGUUCGGACUGGAGUCUGCAACCCGACUCCACGAAGCUGGAUUCGCUAGUAAUCGCGCAUCAGCCACGGCGCGGUGAAUACGUUCCCGGGCCUUGUACACACCGCCCGUCAAGCCAUGGGAGCCGGGGGUACCUGAAGUGCGUAACCGCGAGGAGCGCCCUAGGGUAAAACUGGUGACUGGGGCUAAGUCAUAACA